UGGGGAAUAUUGCACAAUGGGCGCAAGCCUGAUGCAGCCAUGCCGCGUGUGUGAAGAAGGCCUUCGGGUUGUAAAGCACUUUCAGCGAGGAGGAAGGUGGUGAGCUUAAUACGCUCAUCAAUUGACGUUACUCGCAGAAGAAGCACCGGCUAACUCCGUGCCAGCAGCCGCGGUAAUACGGAGGGUGCAAGCGUUAAUCGGAAUUACUGGGCGUAAAGCGCACGCAGGCGGUUUGUUAAGUCAGAUGUGAAAUCCCCGGGCUCAACCUGGGAACUGCAUUUGAAACUGGCAAGCUAGAGUCUCGUAGAGGGGGGUAGAAUUCCAGGUGUAGCGGUGAAAUGCGUAGAGAUCUGGAGGAAUACCGGUGGCGAAGGCGGCCCCCUGGACGAAGACUGACGCUCAGGUGCGAAAGCGUGGGGAGCAAAACAGGAUUAGAUACCCCUGGUAGUCCACGCUGUAAAACGAUGUCGAUUUUGGAGGUUGUGCCCUUGAGGCGUGGCUUCCGGAGCUAACGCGUUAAAUCGACCGCCUGGGGAGUACGGCCGCAAGGUUAAAACUCAAAGGAAUUGACGGGUCAUAGCUGUUUCCU
rnacentral:rRNA from 1 species